rnacentral:lncRNA from 1 species
AGAAUAGAAGUGUGGGAAGCUGGGAGAUAGAGAUAGAAUGGAUCUUGAAAGGCAUAAAGUAGACUCCUGACCUCUGGGAAAUAACUGCAGCUGGCUUUAGCAUGAUGCUAUAUUCCAUAUGGAGAGCAAGGAACAAUCUCAGGUUCCAGAAGGAGAACUACUCAAGUAAUAAAAUUUGUAGAGAUAUUGCAAUUCAUAUACAUACAAGAGGGGUCCAAGUUACAAGAUGGCAGAAGCGAUUAAAGUCUA